rnacentral:rRNA from 1 species
GCUUGCUCUUGCUGACGACCGGCGCACGGGUGCGUAACGCGUAUAGAAUCUGCCUUACACUGAGGGAUAGCCUUUGGAAACGAAGAUUAAUACCUCAUAGUCUAUUUUAGUCUCAUGAUUUUAAUAGUAAAGGUUACGGUGUAAGAUGACUAUGCGUCCUAUUAGCUUGUUGGUAAGGUAACGGCUUACCAAGGCUACGAUAGGUAGGGGCCCUGAGAGGGGGAUCCCCCACACUGGUACUGAGACACGGACCAGACUCCUACGGGAGGCAGCAGUGAGGAAUAUUGGACAAUGGAGGCAACUCUGAUCCAGCCAUGCCGCGUGAAGGAUGACUGCCCUAUGGGUUGUAAACUUCUUUUAUACAGGAAGAAACCGUUCCACGUGUGGAGCUUUGACGGUACUGUAUGAAUAAGCACCGGCUAACUCCGUGCCAGCAGCCGCGGUAAUACGGAGGGUGCAAGCGUUAUCCGGAAUCAUUGGGUUUAAAGGGUCCGUGGGCGGACUAAU